rnacentral:lncRNA from 1 species
GUCUCCCUAGGUUUCUUUUGGCUGUGGCAGUUUUCAAACACUGUCUUUGAUGACCUGGACAUUUUUGAGGAGUCAUGUCGCAUGCCCCUCUGUUGGAAUUUAUCUGAUGUUUUUCUCAUGAUUAAACUGGGAUUAUAAAUUUUGCAGAGGAAGAUAAGCAUUCACAACCAAAACAGGGCUUUUUGAUGACUACAAUCAACUGCCUUCAUGCUUGAGUCUAAGCUUCCUAAAUCAGAAAGCGCCAGAAAUUACACUUUGAACCUCCAAAUAGUCAACCAACAUGAGGAAUUGAGCAGGAGAAGCAAGAAGUGUUUACAGUGAAACAGUCUUCAAAGCGAGGAAUUUGCUCCUGUCUGCAGAAAUUAUGAAAUUAUUUUUUGAGAGGGAUCCCUUACCUUUAACUUGUG